UACGGGGGGGGCAAGCGUUGUUCGGAAUUACUGGGCGUAAAGGGUUUGUAGGUGGCUUGCUAAGUCAGACGUGAAAUCCCUCAGCUUAACUGGGGAACUGCGUCUGAUACUGGCGAGCUUGAGUGCAGGAGAGGAACGCGGAAUUCCAGGUGUAGCGGUGAAAUGCGCAGAUAUCAGGAGGAACACCGAUGGCGAAGGCAGGUCUCUGGGCAUUAACUGACGCUGAGGAGCGAAAGCAUGGGGAGCGAACAGG
rnacentral:rRNA from 1 species